rnacentral:ncRNA from 1 species
GCAGAGAUAAAAACACGGCCCGGUUGGUAGUCCGGGCGCGGCGGGCUGGGCCUGCUGUCAGUAGCCUGCCUCCUUGGUUGUCCGUUCUCUGU